rnacentral:lncRNA from 11 species
AAAAAAACCCGCACAGGACGAGUGAGAAAAAGUAAUUGAAUUAAUUUAAAGAAUCUGUGGGAUUUACAAACUGAACAAGAAUGGAAAGCCAAAGGAAUGAGGCUUUAUUUACUUACGGAGAGAUAAGCUCAAGGACAUUAUGGGUGUGGAAAGAAAGCUGUCACCGAGGUCCUUGCCGAACAUGACAGCCUCCAAGUGUCACUUAUGAGGCACCGAAGACAAGGGGAGGGAUGGAAAACAUUUUCCAUCUCUCUGAAGAAAUGAUGAGAUAAUUACGCACGGGGUAAGCCGGGAUGUAAAGGUAUUUGUUUCCCUUUUGAGUCU